rnacentral:misc_RNA from 1 species
GAUGAAGAACGCAGCGAAAUGCGAUAAGUAAUGUGAAUUGCAGAAUUCAGUGAAUCAUCGAAUCUUUGAACGCACAUUGCGCCCUCUGGUAUUCCGGGGGGCAUGCCUGUUCGAGCGUCAUUAUAACCACUCAAGCUCUCGCUUGGUAUUGGGGUUCGCGGUUCCGCGGCCCCUAAAAUCAGUGGCGGUGCCUGUCGGCUCUACGCGUAGUAAUACUCCUCGCGAUUGAGUCCGGUAGGUCUACUUGCCAGCAACCCCCAAUUUUUCUAUGGUUGACCUCGGAUCAGGUAGGGAUACCCGCUGAACUUAAGCAUAUCAAUAAGCGGAGGA